UACGUAGGGUGCAAGCGUUGUCCGGAAUUAUUGGGCGUAAAGAGCUCGUAGGCGGUUUGUCGCGUCUGCUGUGAAAACUCAGGGCUUAACCCUGAGCCUGCAGUGGGUACGGGCAGACUAGAGUGUGGUAGGGGAGAUCGGAAUUCCUGGUGUAGCGGUGAAAUGCGCAGAUAUCAGGAGGAACACCGAUGGCGAAGGCAGGUCUCUGGGCCACUACUGACGCUGAGAAGCGAAAGCAUGGGGAGCGAACAGG
rnacentral:rRNA from 1 species